GGAGGGGUUCCCGAGUGGCCAAAGGGAGCAGACUGUAAAUCUGCCGGCACUGCCUACGUAGGUUCGAGUCCUACCCUCUCCA
rnacentral:tRNA from 1 species